rnacentral:rRNA from 1 species
CGAACGCUGGCGGCGUGCUUAACACAUGCAAGUCGAACGAAAAGGCCCUGCUUUUGUGGGGUGCUCGAGUGGCGAACGGGUGAGUAACACGUGAGUAACCUGCCCUUGACUUUGGGAUAACUUCAGGAAACUGGGGCUAAUACCGGAUAGGAGCUCCUGCUGCAUGGUGGGGGUUGGAAAGUUUCGGCGGUUGGGGAUGGACUCGCGGCUUAUCAGCUUGUUGGUGGGGUAGUGGCUUACCAAGGCUUUGACGGGUAGCCGGCCUGAGAGGGUGACCGGCCACAUUGGGACUGAGAUACGGCCCAGACUCCUACGGGAGGCAGCAGUGGGGAAUAUUGCACAAUGGGCGGAAGCCUGAUGCAGCAACGCCGCGUGCGGGAUGACGGCCUUCGGGUUGUAAACCGCUUUCGCCUGUGACGAAGCGUGAGUGACGGUAAUGGGUAAAGAAGCACCGGCUAACUACGUG